UUAACUGAAACCAAAAAGAGGUAUAUUACUGUUAAUAAUAAAACUGAAUCUUAAAAUUCCAGCUAAA
rnacentral:tRNA from 1 species